GCCCGGACCCAUUCCGAACCCGGAAGCUAAGCCUGCCAGCGCCGAUGGUACUGCACCCGACAGGCGUGCGGGAGAGUAGGACACCGCCGGCC
rnacentral:rRNA from 1 species